UACAGAGGGUGCAAGCGUUAAUCGGAAUUACUGGGCGUAAAGCGAGCGUAGUCGGUUAUUUAAGUCGGGUGUGAAAGCCCCGGGCUCAACCUGGGAAUUGCAUUCGAUACUGGAUAGCUAGAGUUCGGCAGAGGGAAGCGGAAUUUCCGGUGUAGCGGUGAAAUGCGUAGAUAUCGGAAGGAACAUCAGUGGCGAAAGCGGCGACCUGGGUCGAUACUGACGCUGAUGCGCGAAAGCGUGGGGAGCAAACAGG
rnacentral:rRNA from 1 species